rnacentral:rRNA from 1 species
AUGCAUGUCUAAGUAUAAGCAAUUAUACAGCGAAACUGCGAAUGGCUCAUUAUAUAAGUUAUCGUUUAUUUGAUAGUACCUUACUACUUGGAUAACCGUGGUAAUUCUAGAGCUAAUACAUGCUAAAAAUCCCGACUUCGGAAGGGAUGUAUUUAUUAGAUUAAAAACCAAUGCCCUUCGGGGCUCACUGGUGAUUCAUAAUAACUUCUCGAAUCGCAUGGCCUUGCGCCGGCGAUGGUUCAUUCAAAUUUCUUCCCUAUCAACUUUCGAUGCUAGAGUAGUGUUCUAGCAUGGUUACAACGGGUAACGGAGGGUUAGGGCUCGACCCCGGAGAAGGAGCCUGAGAAACGGCUACUACAUCCAAGGAAGGCAGCAGGCGCGCAAAUUACCCAAUCCCGACACGGGGAGGUAGUGACGAUAAAUACUGAUACAGGGCUCUUUUGGGUCUUGUAAUUGGAAUGAGUACAAUUUAAAUCCCUUAACGANNNNNNNNNNNNNNNNNNNNNNNNNNNNNNNNNNNNNNNNNNNNNNAGCUCCAAUAGCGUNUAUUAAAGUUGUUGUGGUUAAAAAGCUCGUAGUAGAACCUUGGGCCUGGCUGGCCGGUCCGCCUCACCGCGUGCACUGGUCCGGCCGGGCCUUUCCCUCUGUGGAACCGCAUGCCCUUCACUGGGUGUGCCGGGGAAACAGGACUUUUACUUUGAAAAAAUUAGAGUGCUCCAGGCAGGCCUAUGCUCGAAUACAUUAGCAUGGAAUAAUAGAAUAGGACGUGUGGUUCUAUUUUGUUGGUUUCUAGGACCGCCGUAAUGAUUAAUAGGGACAGUCGGGGGCAUCAGUAUUCAAUUGUCAGAGGUGAAAUUCUUGGAUUUAUUGAAGACUAACUACUGCGAAAGCAUUUGCCAAGGAUGUUUUCAUUUAUCAGGAACGAAAGUUAGGGGAUCGAAGACGAUCAGAUACCGUCGUAGUCUUAACCAUAAACUAUGCCGACUAGGGAUCGGACGAUGUUAUUUUUUGAC